rnacentral:rRNA from 1 species
GAUGAACGCUGGCGGCGUGCUUAACACAUGCAAGUCGAACGAUGAAGCCCAGCUUGCUGGGUGGAUUAGUGGCGAACGGGUGAGUAACACGUGAGUAACCUGCCCUUAACUCUGGGAUAAGCCUGGGAAACUGGGUCUAAUACCGGAUAGGAGCGCCUACCGCAUGGUGGGUGUUGGAAAGAUUUAUCGGUUUUGGAUGGACUCGCGGCCUAUCAGCUUGUUGGUGAGGUAAUGGCUCACCAAGGCGACGACGGGUAGCCGGCCUGAGAGGGUGACCGGCCACACUGGGACUGAGACACGGCCCAGACUCCUACGGGAGGCAGCAGUGGGGAAUAUUGCACAAUGGGCGAAAGCCUGAUGCAGCGACGCCGCGUGAGGGAUGACGGCCUUCGGGUUGUAAACCUCUUUCAGUAGGGAAGAAGCGAAAGUGACUGUACCUGCAGAAGAAGCACCGGCUAACUACGUG